rnacentral:rRNA from 1 species
GACGUAGGGCGUGAGCGUUGUCCGGAUUUAUUGGGCGUAAAGAGCUCGUAGGCGGCUUGUUGCGUCGGCUGUGAAAACCCAUGGCUCAACCGUGGGCUUGCAGCCGAUACGGGCAGGCUAGAGUUCGGUAGGGGAGACUGGAAUUCAUGGUGUAGCAGUGAAAUGCGUAGAGAUCAUGAGGAAGACCAGUGGCGAAGGCGGGUCUCUGGACAGUUCCUGACACUGAGACACGAAGGCCAGGGGAGCAAACGGG